UGCUCAGGACGAACGCUGGCGGCGUGCUAAUACAUGCAAGUCGAGCGGACAGAUGGGAGCUUGCUCCUGAUGUUAGCGGCGGACGGGUGAGUAACACGUGGGUAACCUGCCUGUAAGACUGGGAUAACUCCGGGAAACCGGGGCUAAUACCGGAUGGUUGUUUGAACCGCAUGGUUCAAACAUAAAAGGUGGCUUCGGCUACCACUUACAGAUGGACCCGCGGCGCAUUAGCUAGUUGGUGAGGUAACGGCUCACCAAGGCAACGAUGCGUAGCCGACCUGAGAGGGUGAUCGGCCACACUGGGACUGAGACACGGCCCAGACUCCUACGGGAGGCAGCAGUAGGGAAUCUUCCGCAAUGGACGAAAGUCUGACGGAGCAACGCCGCGUGAGUGAUGAAGGUUUUCGGAUCGUAAAGCUCUGUUGUUAGGGAAGAACAAGUACCGUUCGAAUAGGGCGGUACCUUGACGGUACCUAACCAGAAAGCCACGGCUAACUACGUGCCAGCAGCCGCGGUAAUACGUAGGUGGCAAGCGUUGUCCGGAAUUAUUGGGCGUAAAGGGCUCGCAGGCGGUUUCUUAAGUCUGAUGUGAAAGCCCCCGGCUCAACCGGGGAGGGUCAUUGGAAACUGGGGAACUUGAGUGCAGAAGAGGAGAGUGGAAUUCCACGUGUAGCGGUGAAAUGCGUAGAGAUGUGGAGGAACACCAGUGGCGAAGGCGACUCUCUGGUCUGUAACUGACGCUGAGGAGCGAAAGCGUGGGGAGCGAACAGGAUUAGAUACCCUGGUAGUCCACGCCGUAAACGAUGAGUGCUAAGUGUUAGGGGGUUUCCGCCCCUUAGUGCUGCAGCUAACGCAUAA
rnacentral:rRNA from 1 species